rnacentral:lncRNA from 1 species
UAGAAAAGAAGAAUACAAUAUUGUAAUAAUAUUGAUUGUAUUUGGAGGAAAAGAAAAUAAAAAUGUAAUAUGUAAAAAGCAUGUGAUGUGAAUGCUUAUAAUAGCUUAGUUGUUUUAUGUUUUUGAUACUUCCUUAUGCAAUCCUUGCUUGAAAUUUGUUCCUGGUUGGAACCUCGCGAAUUGUAUUGAUUGCGACGCCUAGGACGUAUUGGAAAAACUCUGUCCCUUCGGCAGUCUGUUAACGGGCCCAAAUCCGACCAAAUCGGUGGGUCUCGGGGCGUGACACUCUAGAUCAUAUUUAACGGAGUGGAUCAUCGAAGACAACUUAUGAGUACGAAAGGCCCAAUACUCGUAAUAGUAUAGUAGCUCUACGCUAUAUAUAUAUAAAGCAUAAAGUAGUUCGUGCUUCCGAUUUUUUAGCCCUUAGAUCAACCCCAUUGAUCAUUUCGAACCAUUGGAUUAAUAUUAUUAACCAAUAGGGACUACUCAAACCCUAGGGGGACCACUUAACCCUAAAGGGACCGCUAUCAUCCCAACCGUUGAAUCUUUGAUCUAAGGGCUAAAAAAUCGGAAGCACCAACUACUUUAUGCUUCCGAUAACAUAGUAGCUCUACGCUAUAUAUAUAUAUAUAUAUAUAUAUAUAUAGAGAGAGAGAGAGAGAGAGAGAGAGAGAGAGAGAGAGAGUUGAGCUAGAAUACUCUCAAAAGCAUCAAGGGGGUGGUGCUUUUGAAUUUUUAACCAUUGGAUGGAGAGAUGUAGGGUUGAGAUGAUGGCGUUAGGUGGUGGUAGGUGGUGGUAGGUGGAAUAGUGUUUGAUCUAAGGGGUAUUAGUAAUUAAGGAGUAGAUCCAAGGGCUAGAAACUUAGAAGCACCAAGGGAUUGGUGCUUUUAAAAGUAUUCUAGCUCAAUUCUAUAUAUAUAUAUAUAUAUAUAUAUAU